rnacentral:rRNA from 1 species
UACAGAGGUCCCAAGCGUUGUUCGGAUUCACUGAGCGUAAAGGGUGCGCAGGUGGGUUUGCAAGUUCGAUGUGAAAGCCCCGGGCUUAACCCGGGAAUGGCAUUGGAUACUGCAGAUCUGGAGGAUCGGAGGGGGGACUGGAAUUCUUGGUGUAGCAGUGAAAUGCGUAGAUAUCAAGAGGAACACCAGUGGCGAAGGCGAGUCCCUGGACGAUACCUGACACUGAGGCACGAAAGCUAGGGGAGCAAACGGG